rnacentral:rRNA from 1 species
UUGUGAAUAGAAGAUAGAGCCCGUACCGCAAACCGACACAGGUAGAUAGGAAGAAGAUUCUAAGGCCAACGGGAGAAGGGUUGUUAAGGAACUCGGCAAGUUGACCCCGUAACUUAGGGAGAAGGGGUGCUCUUUAAGGAGAGCCGCAGAGAAUAGGCCCAAGCGACUGUUUAGCAAAAACACAGCUCUAUGCUAAAUCGAAAGAUGACGUAUAUGGGGUGACACCUGCCCGGUGCCGGAAGGUUAAGAGGAGGAGUGAGAGCUCUGAAUUGAAGCCCCGGUAAACGGCGGCCGUAACGAUAACGGUCCUAAGGUAGCGAAAUUCCUUGUCAGGUAAGUUCUGACCCGCACGAAUGGUGUAACGAUUUGGGCACUGUCUCAACAACCUGCCCGGCGAAAUUGUAGUACCGGUGAAGAUGCCGGUUACCCGCGACUAGACGGAAAGACCCCAUGGAGCUUUACUGCAGCUUAAUAUUGAAUUUCGGUAUUUCAUGUACAGGAUAGGUGGGAGACAGGGAACCAUAGGCGUCAGCUUAUGGGGAGUCGACCUUGGGAUACCACUCUUGAGGUGCUGGAAUUCUAACCUGUGGCUCUGAAUCGAGUCAGGGGACAUUGUUAGGCGGGCAGUUUGACUGGGGCGGUCGCCUCCAAAAAGGUAACGCAGGCGCUCAAAGGUUCGCUCAGCAUGGAUGGAAACCAUGCUUUUGAGUGUAAACGCAAAAGCGAGCCUAACUGCGAGACUGACGGGUCGAGCAGUAACGAAAGUUGGAGUUAGUGAUCCGGCGGUAUGUGAGUGGAAAUGCCGUCGCUCAACGGAUAAAAGCUACCCUGGGGAUAACAGGCUGAUCUCCCCCAAGAGUCCACAUCGACGGGGAGGUUUGGCACCUCGAUGUCGGCUCAUCGCAUCCUGGGGCUGAAUUCGGUCCCAAGGGUUUGGCUGUUCGCCAAUUAAAGCGGUACGCGAGCUGGGUUCAGAACGUCGUGAGACAGUUCGGUCCCUAUCUGUCGUGGGCGUAGGAUAUUUGAAAGGAGCUGUCCCUAGUACGAGAGGACCGGGAUGGACGCACCGCUGGUGCACCAGUUGUCAUGCCAAUGGCACAGCUGGGCAGCUAUGUGCGGAACGGAUAAACGCUGAAGGCAUCUAAGCGUGAAGCCGACCUUAAGAUAAGAUAUCCCUUCGUAAGAGUAAGACCUCUCAUAGACUAUGAGUUUGAUAGGCCUAAGGUGUAAGCACAGUGAUGUGUUCAGCCUGCAGGUACUAAUCGGUCGAGGGCUUUUCCG